rnacentral:rRNA from 1 species
AGCAGCCGCGGUAAUUCCAGCUCCAAUAGCGUAUAUUAAAGUUGUUGCAGUUAAAAAGCUCGUAGUUGAAUUUCGGGAUCAGUACGUUGGUCAUGCCUUCGGUAUGUACUGGUGUCACUGAUUCCUCCCUUCUGAAGAACUGUCAUGUCAUUCACUUGGUGUGGCAGGGAAUCAGGACUGUUACUUUGAAAAAAUUAGAGUGUUUAAAGCAGGCUCGCGCUUGAAUACAUUAGCAUGGAAUAAUGGAAUAGGACGUUGAUCCUAUUUUGUUGGUUUCUAGGAUUGACGUAAUGAUUAAUAGGGAUAGUUGGGGGCAUUAGUAUUCAAUUGUCAGAGGUGAAAUUCUUGGAUUUAUUGAAGACUAACUACUGCGAAAGCAUUUGCCAAGGAUGUUUUCAUUAAUCAAGAACGAAAGUUAGGGGAUCGAAGACGAUCAGAUACCGUCGUAGUCUUAACCAUAAACUAUGCCGACUAGGGAUCGGAUGAUGUUAAUUUUUUAAUGACUCAUUCGGCGCCUUACG